rnacentral:lncRNA from 1 species
CAGGAGAUGUCUCCAUCUGCUGCUGCAGGGCCGGGCAUAGGGAGCACUCUGUGAGGACUUCCCAGCACUUCUUCGGCUCCCACACAGCAUCAGACUUGCUGCAGUAAUCUUACCUUUGGCACUGAAGCCAGGUGCCUGAUGUCACUUUAUAUCCUGGAAAGCACAGGAAUCCAGAAUGUCGCACAUUCCCAUUUUUCCCCUGUGCAUUGAGAGCUCUGGAGAAGGCCAGCCACACCACAGUGUCCUGCUGAGCUUCAAUUAAGGGGAAAAGAACACAGAUGUCUGCCCUGCUCACUGAAUUUGCUGGAGCUGGACUUGGGAAUUUAUAUUUUUUUUCUGCUAGAAACGUGAGUGAGGAGCAGGUGGCUUCAAGGAUGCUCUGGAAUAAUAAUGCACAGAGAUAUGACGUGGUUGUAAGGACUGUAUUCUGACCCUCCUUUACACCCGUGUGCAUCAGGAGCAGUGCAGCAAAGAGGCGGCAGCGUCGGGCAGCCCAGGCCUGGUCCCCGGUGUUGGUCUGGCAUGAACCUGGGAGCUGCUUCAGGUUUACACCAAGAGUCCUGUUCUCAGGAAAGAAAGCUCCCAUUUUCCAGGAGCAGGUCUGGAAGUCGUCUCGUUUGUGCCCUGGGUGCGUGCCUGGCACUGGGAGCUCGGCGCUGGAGCAGAGCCCGAUCCAUGAGCAUUCAGCUGCAGAAGAAAGAGGGAAAUCUCCACAGGAGCAUGAGACAGAGCACAUAA